rnacentral:rRNA from 1 species
CAUGCAAGUCGAGGGGCAGCAUGGUCUUAGCUUGCUAAGGCCGAUGGCGACCGGCGCACGGGUGAGUAACACGUAUCCAACCUGCCGUCUACUCUUGGACAGCCUUCUGAAAGGAAGAUUAAUACAAGAUGGCAUCAUGAGUCCGCAUGUUCACAUGAUUAAAGGUAUUCCGGUAGACGAUGGGGAUGCGUUCCAUUAGAUAGUAGGCGGGGUAACGGCCCACCUAGUCUUCGAUGGAUAGGGGUUCUGAGAGGAAGGUCCCCCACAUUGGAACUGAGACACGGUCCAAACUCCUACGGGAGGCAGCAGUGAGGAAUAUUGGUCAAUGGGCGAGAGCCUGAACCAGCCAAGUAGCGUGAAGGAUGACUGCCCUAUGGGUUGUAAACUUCUUUUAUAAAGGAAUAAAGUCGGGUAUGGAUACCCGUUUGCAUGUACUUUAUGAAUAAGGAUCGGCUAACUCCGUGCCAGCAGCCGCGGUAAUACGGAGGAUCCGAGCGUUAUCCGGAUUUAUUGGGUUUAAAGGGAGCGUAGAUGGAUGUUUAAGUCAGUUGUGAAAGUUUGCGGCUCAACCGUAAAAUUGCAGUUGAUACUGGAUAUCUUGAGUGCAGUUGAGGCAGGCGGAAUUCGUGGUGUAGCGGUGAAAUGCUUAGAUAUCACGAAGAACUCCGAUUGCGAAGGCAGCCUGCUAAGCUGCAACUGACAUUGAGGCUCGAAAGUGUGGGUAUCAAACAGGAUUAGAUACCCUGGUAGUCCACACGGUAAACGAUGAAUACUCGCUGUUUGCGAUAUACUGCAAGCGGCCAAGCGAAAGCGUUAAGUAUUCCACCUGGGGAGUACGCCGGCAACGGUGAAACUCAAAGGAAUUGACGGGGGCCCGCACAAGCGGAGGAACAUGUGGUUUAAUU